GGCACUGCAGGAGCUCUCCCCGUGCCCCUGCAGGUGCUGGGACACAGACCAGCUGCUGGAGGUCUGCCCCUGAUUCCUGCCCUGCUGUUGGCAAGGCAACUGCAAUGCCUUUCCACAAUCAAGGCUUGCUGAAAAAGAUUAACAUGGCCAACAGGGCAGGAUUUAGACCUGAUCCAAGUACUCUGAGGGCCCACAUCACCAGUCUUGGAUGGAAACUUCUCACAGCAGCAAACAGACUUCACAAUGUCUUUUAAAUGGAGGUUACUUUUUGAAAUGUAUCUUAAGAAAGUCAAUGGAAAAUGUCCUAAAUUAGUGGAAAUUAUUACUAAGACAAUAUUACCGUGUUUUACAAUGUAAAGGAAACACAAAUGAAAGGCACAGUUUCAGGUACAGCUUUGCAAGUAGUUCUACAAGGUCAGCAACAUUUAACCUUGAGAAAAGUCCACCAGCAUCAGUACACACUGCUGUCAGCUCUGGCUGGGAAGCUCUACAGAAAUACAGCACACCAAGUAACUGAUGUGCUGACAUCCUGAGAGGAAGGAAGAGGAGUGAGGGGAAGGAUGCCGCAGCAUACAUACACCAUACAAGAGGUUUGGCUGCAGAUGGGAAACACCUCUGUGUGACCACAUCUGCUGGUGAACACAUCCUGUGGCUUUGUGAGCACUUGGGCACCACGGUAUCACCUGGCAAUUCAGUUUUGGCGGUGAAUUAAGACAUAGCACUCAAUUUGGUGCUCACCUCACUGCACAAGGUGUUCUCCCAGCGGGGAGGAGCUGAGCAGGACUUGAUUCAACAGAAGAUCAGAGUGAGGCAAAUGGACAAUGUCUGACAAUGACAAACAACUGCAGACUUCUUUUGUACAGCAUACUCAGUCUUACAGAGCACUUUCAUACUGAAUCAGGAGUUCAUCCCACAAGGCUGUGGCAUUCUUGAUCAGCAACCUGAAAGCUGGACUUAAUGCACUGUUGAAUCACAACCUUACGUAACUUCAGUACCUGCAGUGUCUUUUCCAGGUGGGAUGUAGGGCUUUCACAGCCAGUUGCAACCAGUAAAAUAAAAAUUAAAACCACACUUCAGCAAGAACUUAAAAAAGGCACUGGCACUUCUGUGCUUCAGUAAGCCAGCCUAGAGCUAACAGCAGUACAAUAAUUUUUGAAAUCCUCCCCAGUCACCAGAAUCUCCUUAUAUUUUCAUCAGUGAAAUCCAGUUUGCACCACGUAUCCACUUCUAGACAACACAGUAACACCCAAAGCACAGUGGGCCCCUGUGACAGAUUUAGACAAUAAACCCUCCUCACUAACAUGUUAAGCAUAUUAAAAAUUUUUCAAAUGCUUCAGACCACCUAUUAAACACUUCCCCUGAAUUGUGGCUUCCACAGACAUAUUCUUUAGCACUUAUAAUAUAGAGCGUCUGACAAAAUUAAAAACAUGACUGAGAAACUAUGAAUAAUAAAUUAAAAAGCAUGAAGAGAGACCAUUUUGUUUCCCAAGCAGACAGAGAAGAAAAAAGCAAAUGAGGCUGCAGUGGAAUUUCCUCCCCCAAGGCACCAUCCCAUGACUGUCACUCCCUCCACCCUAUUCCAUCUUACUUUUGUAAUUCCAGUGGAUGCUGGUGACUUGGAUCUCCUGAGUUGGAAUGUAUUCCUCAAUAAAUUUCU